CUAUUAUGGAGAGUUUGAUCCUGGCUCAGGACGAACGCUGGCGGCAUGCCUAAUACAUGCAAGUCGAGCGAAUGACGAAGAAGCUUGCUUCUUCUGAUUUAGCGGCGGACGGGUGAGUAACACGUGGGCAACCUGCCCUGUAGAUUGGGAUAACUCCGGGAAACCGGGGCUAAUACCGAAUAAUCCAUUUCCUCUCAUGGGGAGAUGUUAAAAGACGGUUUCGGCUGUCACUACAGGAUGGGCCCGCGGCGCAUUAGCUAGUUGGUGAGGUAACGGCUCACCAAGGCGACGAUGCGUAGCCGACCUGAGAGGGUGAUC
rnacentral:rRNA from 1 species